AGAGAUUCUUAGAACGGUGGUUAUAUUAACCAUAUGGAACAGUGACUGAUCACUGUUGUGACGACCUGUGCUGCCAGGAGAGAACACGUUGUUACUUGUCUCAAUGAAAUAAUAAACACAAAGACAAAUUCCAUUUGGAGAGUGCUCUUAUUCGUUCAUACGGGCAAGGAAUUAAAUGAAAACUGGUGUCAUAAAAGGUAUAUCUUGGAGCAGCCCUGGCAAGAAGAUGAGUCAAGUGUGAUUUGAGAAAGAAGGAUGAGUUGGAUUUUUGGGCACUAAAGGAGAGAAGUCCCAGUGCUUGUCUUUGUACCUGGUGGCACAGAUGCGAGGAUCAUGCAGAAGCCUCUGGAUACUGAAGCAUCACUGUUUGGGGCCCUUCCAGUGAUAGCAGCUGGUGUGGAGGGGAAACUUUGAGAGUCUUAGUGCCUGUUGAAUACCUUGUUCUCUUGAGUGUCUGUAAAUGACUGAGAUAGCUCUCAGUUGUUUGCUAUGUACAAAAUCUUAUUUAUGUUAAAGAAAUGGAAGCAUACCUUAAAAGAGGGAUGAGGAAUUUAUUGUUUUAAAUCUUAAGGGCCUAAUGAUUACUAGUCCAGAUCUAAUCGUUACAGAAAAAGAAAGAGCAGUAAUGCAAUUAAAAUCAUUACGCUUAUUGUC